rnacentral:rRNA from 1 species
AAUAUUUCACAAUGGAGGGAAGUCUGAUGCAGCGACGCAGCGUGAGCGAUGAAGGCAUUCGGGUCGUAAAGCACUGUCCUAUGAGACGAUACUGACGGUACCAUAGGAGGAAGCCCCGGCUAACUACGUGCCAGCAGCCGCGGUAGUACGUAGGGGGCGAACGUUGUCCGGAAUUACGGGGCGUGAAGGGUACGCAGGCGGCCAGGUAAGUUAGAUGUGAAAGGUCACGGAUCAACCGUGGUAAGCAUUUGAAACUGGGUGGCGUGAGUUAAGGAGAGGAAAGGGGAAUUCCUGGUGUAGCGGUGAAAUGCGUAGAUAUCAGGAGGAAUACCAGUGGCGAAGGCGACUUUCUGGACUUAAACUGACGCUGAGGUACGAAAGCGUGGGGAGCAAA